UACGUAGGGUGCGAGCGUUGUCCGGAAUUAUUGGGCGUAAAGAGCUCGUAGGCGGUUUGUUGCGUCUAUCGUGAAAACCUGCAGCUUAACUGUGGGCUUGCGGUGGGAUACGGGCAGACUUGAGUUCGGUAGGGGGAGACUGGAAUUCCUGGUGUAGCGGUGAAAUGCGCAGAUAUCAGGAGGAACACCGGUGGCGAAGGCGCCACUCUGGGCCGAAACUGACGCUGAGGAGCGAAAGCGUGGGUAGCAAACAGG
rnacentral:rRNA from 1 species